GCAGUCGAACGGUAACAGGAAGUACUUGUACUUUGCUGACGAGUGGCGCACGGGUGAGUAAUAUAUAGGUUACGUGCCUCUUAGACUGGGAUAGCCACUGGAAACGGUGAUUAAUACURGAUACUCCUACUUGUAGGGAAAGCUUUUGCGCUAAGAGAUCGGCCUAUACUGUAUCAGCUUGUUGGUGAGGUAAUGGCUCACCAAGGCGAUGACACAUAGCGGGUUUGAGAGGAUGAUCCGCCACACUGGUACUGAGACACGGACCAGACUCCUACGGGAGGCAGCAGUGAGGAAUAUUGCACAAUGGGGGGAACCCUGAUGCAGCAACGCCGCGUGGAGGAUGACGCAUUUCGGYGUGUAAACUCCUUUUAUCAGAGAAGAAAAUGACGGUAUCUGAUGAAUAAGCUCCGGCUAACUCCGUGCCAGCAGCCGCGGUAAUACGGAGGGAGCAAGCGUUAUUCGGAAUCACUGGGCGUAAAGGACGCGUAGGCGGGUUAUUAAGUCUGAUGUGAAAUCCUAUGGCUCAACCAUAGWACUGCAUUGGAAACUGAUAACCUASAGUAUGGAAGGGGAAAAUGGAAUUAGUGGUG
rnacentral:rRNA from 1 species